CAGAAAGUAGCUUGCUACUUUGCUGACGAGCGGCGGACGGGUGAGUAAUGCUUGGGAACAUGCCUUGAGGUGGGGGACAACAGUUGGAAACGACUGCUAAUACCGCAUAAUGUCUACGGACCAAAGGGGGCUUCGGCUCUCGCCUUUAGAUUGGCCCAAGUGGGAUUAGCUAGUUGGUGAGGUAAUGGCUCACCAAGGCGACGAUCCCUAGCUGGUUUGAGAGGAUGAUCAGCCACACUGGGACUGAGACACGGCCCAGACUCCUACGGGAGGCAGCAGUGGGGAAUAUUGCACAAUGGGCGCAAGCCUGAUGCAGCCAUGCCGCGUGUGUGAAGAAGGCCUUCGGGUUGUAAAGCACUUUCAGUCAGGAGGAAAGGUUAGUAGUUAAUACCUGCUAGCUGUGACGUUACUGACAGAAGAAGCACCGGCUAACUCCGUGCCAGCAGCCGCGGUAAUACGGAGGGUGCGAGCGUUAAUCGGAAUUACUGGGCGUAAAGCGUACGCAGGCGGUUUGUUAAGCGAGAUGUGAAAGCCCCGGGCUCAACCUGGGAACUGCAUUUCGAACUGGCAAACUAGAGUGUGAUAGAGGGUGGUAGAAUUUCAGGUGUAGCGGUGAAAUGCGUAGAGAUCUGAAGGAAUACCGAUGGCGAAGGCAGCCACCUGGGUCAACACUGACGCUCAUGUACGAAAGCGUGGGGAGCAAACGGGAUUAGAUACCCCGGUAGUCCACGCCGUAAACGAUGUCUA
rnacentral:rRNA from 1 species